AACGGAUUUGGCGGCAAAAUAUUCCCUCUAGAGGAACCUGCCCUAUAAAUGAUAUUCCACGAUUAAUUUUACUUUUAUUAGUAAGCAGUUUGUAUAUCGCUGUUGUUAGUUAGUUUCUUUAGAAGACUUUCUUUAAUGAUUUAUUUCACUGACUUCAAGUAAAGGUGCAGCUUAUGUAAAAGAAAGAGGUGGGUUACAAUUAAUAGAAUAAAAAUGGAUUUAACUAUGUAAAAGUUAAUGAAAAUGGAUUUAGAAGUAACUUUUUAUAAAUAAUUUGAUAAGAGCAUUAUUUUGUGUACAUACCGCCCGUC
rnacentral:rRNA from 1 species